CAGAUAUCAGAGAGUCCGGCUCUCCAUUCACCGGACAGAGAGUGGUCUGAUGCUGAAGCUGUGCUGCUGAGACGCAGAGCCUCUGAUCCUCCAUCGCCUCGUCCCCUUCAGUCACUCGACGGAGCUUCAGAAGAGACCAGCAGCCGUAAGCAGCGGGAAGACUGUGAAAAGAAGCUAAGCAGAGGUCCAGAGACGCUGUUCCCUCACUCCACCAUCACUCCUCCAGGUCUG